rnacentral:piRNA from 1 species
CUCCAGGUGACCGUAUGUGGAUCCAGGA